GAUGAACGCUGGCGGCGCGCCUAACACAUGCAAGUCGAACGAUUAAAGCACCUUCGGGUGUGUAUAAAGUGGCGAACGGCUGAGUAACACGUGGGCAACCUGCCCCUCUCAUUGGGAUAGCCACGGGAAACCGUGGAUAAUACCGAAUACUUCGGGACUUCCGCAUGGAAGACUCGAGAAAGCUCCGGCGGAGAGGGAUGGGCCCGCGGCCUGUUAGCUUGUUGGUGGGGUAAUGGCCUACCAAGGCAAUGAUGGGUAGCUGGGUUGAGAGACCGACCGGCCAGAUUGGGACUGAGACACGGCCCAGACUCCUACGGGAGGCAGCAGUGGGGAAUCUUGCACAAUGGGCGAAAGCCUGAUGCAGCGACGCCGCGUGCGGGAUGAAGGCCUUCGGGUUGUAAACCGCUUUCAGCAGGGACGAGGCGAAAGUGACGGUACCUGCAGAAGAAGCCCCGGCUAACUACGUG
rnacentral:rRNA from 1 species